rnacentral:rRNA from 1 species
UGGGGAAUCUUGCACAAUGGGGGCAACCCUGAUGCAGCGACGCCGCGUGAGCGAUGAAGCCCUUCGGGGCGUAAAGCUCUUUCGACCGGAACGAUAAUGACGGUACCGGGAGAAGAAGCUGCGGCUAACUACGUGCCAGCAGCCGCGGUAAUACGUAGGCAGCAAGCGUUGUUCGGAGUUACUGGGCGUAAAGAGUGCGUAGGCGGUUUUCUAAGUUCGGUGUGAAAUCUCCCGGCUUAACUGGGAGGGUGCGCCGAAGACUGGGAAGCUGGAGUGUGGGAAAGNCAGGCGGAAUUCCUGGUGUAGCUGUGAAAUGCGUAGAUAUCAGGAGGAACACCGGCGGUGUAGACGGCUUGCUAGACCAUAACUGACGCUGAGGCACGAAAGCGUGGGUAGCAAACA